rnacentral:lncRNA from 1 species
AGCAAGGCUUCAGAAGCAUUACUGAUUGCAAGUGCAUCAGAAGCUGUGGCAUGUUUAAGAUUUGUGAAGACUCACUGGGUGGCCCUGAAGUUACCUCCAGCUGUUUCUGUUGCAGGACUUUUUGUGUCAAAUAGAAAGGUACUGUAGGCAGUGCCAUUUGACCACACCGAUCAUGUUUCCCCCCGAGCACCCCGUGGAAGAGGUCGGUCGCUUGCUGUUAUGUUGCUUCUUAAAACAUGAAGAUUUAGGUCAUGUGGCAUUAUCUUUAGUUCAUGCAGGUGCACUUGAUACUGAGCAAAUAAAGCACAGAACGUUGCCUAAGUCAGUGGUGGAUGUUUGUAGAGUUGUCUACCAAGCAAAAUGUUUGCUCAUUAAGACUCAACAAGAACAGGGCCGUUCUUACAAGGAGGUCUGCACUCCUGUCAUCCAACGUUUGAGAUUCCUCUUUAAUGAAUUGAGACCUGCUGUUUGUAAUGACCUCUCUAUAAUCUCUAAGUUUAAAUUGUUAAGUUCUUUGCCCCGUUGGAGGAGGAUAGCUCAGAAGAUAAUUCGGGAACGGAGGAAAAAGAGAAUGAAUGAUGUUUUAAAACACAAUUCCUAAGAAGCCAGAAUCUACGGCUGAUGAAGAAAAAAUUGGAAAUGAAGACAGUGAUUUAGAAGAAGCCUGCAUUUUGCCUCAUAGUCCAAUAAAUGUGGACAAGAGACCCAUUGCAAUUAAAUCACCCAAGUUGCAGUGUUUUCUGUGAUUCUGAGGUUAGCUGAAUAGAAUCAUAGCAUGUAGCAAAGGAAUCCA